rnacentral:misc_RNA from 1 species
ACAAAUUAAAAAAUAGUCAAUAAUUAUAAUAUGAAUAAACAUCACAUUCUUCAGGAAGAUCAUCAAAAUUCUUCUGGCAGUUCUUUAGCCAUGAGUUCCUCUUUUGGAACAACUACUCCAGAAAGACAUUCUUCUUUUUCUCAAGAGUCUGAAUCUGCUGUUGCUAGCACUCUUCAUAGUCCAUCUUCUUCAGAUUACUCACCCACAAUUACUCCAAGUCAUGAUGAUUCAGCUGUAAUUAUUCAGAAGAGGAAAUUGGGGAAGAAGGCAAAAAGUUAUGCAUAUAGAAUUCGUGAGCAUGUGAAAUUGGGUUCGAAGUUUUCAGAAACGGUGAAGGGGAAAUUGACGAUAGUGAAAGAAGGAGGGAGAAGAAAUAUAUUCAAGCAUAUGUUUCAUGUGAAUGAUGGAGAGAUAUUGCUUAAGGCAUCGCAAUGCUAUUUGUACACAACAGCAGGUCCAAUUGCUGGGAUUUUAUUCAUAUCAACUCAUAAAAUUGCUUUCUGCAGUGAAAGACCCAUCUCUGUUCCUUUUCCCUCUGGAGGAAUUCUCAGAACACCUUACAAGGUGGUUAUUCCAG